GGAGGGUUUGUGGCUCAAUGGUAGAGUAUCUGCUUGGCAUGCAGAAGUUUCCAUCCAGAGGAUAAUAUGUUCAAUCCUGGGCAUCUCCA
rnacentral:tRNA from 1 species